GUGAGGAAUAUUGGUCAAUGGGCGUAAGCCUGAACCAGCCAAGUCGCGUGAGGGAAGACGGUCCUACGGAUUGUAAACCUCUUUUGCCGGGGAGCAACGGGGUCCUUGCGAGGGCUCAAUGAGAGUACCCGGAGAAAAAGCAUCGGCUAACUCCGUGCCAGCAGCCGCGGUAAUACGGAGGAUGCGAGCGUUAUCCGGAUUUAUUGGGUUUAAAGGGUGCGUAGGCGGGCUGUUAAGUCAGCGGUCAAAUGUCGGGGCUCAACCCCGGCCCGCCGUUGAAACUGGCAGUCUCGAGUUGGAGAGAAGUAUGCGGAAUGCGCGGUGUAGCGGUGAAAUGCAUAGAUAUCGCGCAGAACUCCGAUUGCGAAGGCAGCAUGCCGGCUCCACACUGACGCUGAGGCACGAAAGCGUGGGUAUCGAACAGGAUUAGAUACCCUAGUAGUCC
rnacentral:rRNA from 1 species